rnacentral:tRNA from 1 species
GGUCCUAUGGCUUAGAUGGCAUAGCGCCUGCCUAGUAAGCAGGAGAUCACGAGUUCGAGUCUCGUUGGGACCU